rnacentral:rRNA from 1 species
GACGAACGCUGGCGGCGUGCUUAACACAUGCAAGUCGAACGGAAAGGCCCUGCUUUUGUGGGUUGCUCGAGUGGCGAACGGGUGAGUAACAUGUGAGUAACCUGCCCUUGACUUUGGGAUAACUUCAGGAAACUGGGGCUAAUACCGGAUAGGAGCUCCUGCUGCAUUGUGUGGGUUGUAAAGUUUCGGCGGUUGGGGAUGGACUCGCGGCUUAUCAGCUUGUUGGUGGGGUAGUGGCUUACCAAGGCUUUGACGGGUAGCCGGCCUGAGAGGGUGACCGGCCACAUUGGGACUGAGAUACGGCCCAGACUCCUACGGGAGGCAGCAGUGGGGAAUAUUGCACAAUGGGCGGAAGCCUGAUGCAGCAACGCCGCGUGCGGGAUGACGGCCUUCGGGUUGUAAACCGCUUUCGCCUGUGACGAAGCGUGAGUGACGGUAAUGGGUAAAGAAGCACCGGCUAACUACGUG